rnacentral:lncRNA from 1 species
UUAACUCUGGAACGAAAUGAUGUGGUGAAUGGAAAAAUCACUAGAAAAAAAGGAAAGAAAAACAUCGUAAAAGAAAAAAUAAAUAAUAAAAAAAGGAUGUAAAGUCUCCCCGUCAGUUGUCAUAUCAAGAGAGAAUCGUCAAACUGGGACAACCCUUUCUACUCGAACCGUUCCACCUCUCCAAAUUGUAUUUACCAUGCGCAACAAAGUUAGGGAAACCCUUGCAAGCACACCUGUUUAAACAUUAACCAAACCUCCCCAAAUGAGAAAAAUUCAAAUGCUAAUCAUCCAACCAUCUACUUUUCAUACCCAUUUCCCACACCUCCUUGGGGUCAAGCUAGUUUUGAUUGCAAAAAGCGGUAAAGGGAAUUUGAAUUCAUGGUUACACUCUCUUCCUUUUCAUCAAAGAUCUCAAUGUCUCUUGACAUUAUUCUCAAUGAAUGCAUUUUCAAAUGUACAUCGAAAUUGACGACAAUAUUGACAACGGAUUCCAAACAUGGAUUUUUAAAAAAUAAAAUAAAAUAAAAAGAGAAAAAAAAAACAAAACAAAAACCAAAGCAAAAACAAAAAAAACAGAAGGAAGGAAAUAGAGAGAGCAAAAGAAAAGUACAAAACAAAGGUCUCAUGUGUUUAUGCAUCCAUACAUCCUCAUUGCAUUACAUCAUACAUCUUCAAAACAAGCGAAGAAAAU